ensembl:lncRNA novel transcript
GAUGAAACAAUGUUUUUCAUAAUGACGGUAGAUUGAAGUAGAUUUUAUUCUCCUCCAUCCUUGCUUUAUCUACUCUGUUCUGUGUGGGGGUAACAUACAGGUCCUUUUGCUUUCUUCGGGGAUGAUACAGCCACCUGGCCAAAACUGAUCAAACCCCUGCUUCUGUGGGAGGAAGACCCCCAAGAACCAUCAGAGACCAAAGGCAGAAGCCCAAAUUCAAGGUGUCUGCAGGCCCUUGUCCUCCUGGAAGCUCUAGGGGGAUCCGUCCUGUCUCUUCCUGCUUCUGGAAGCUCCCAGCAUUCCUUGGCUGGAGUGCAGUGAUGCAAUCUCGGCUGACCUCCCAGGAUCACCUCCACCUCCCAGGAUCAAGCGAUUCUCCUGCCUCAGCCUCCUGAGUAGCUGGGAUUACAAGCAUGUGCCACCAUGUCUGGCUAAUUUUUAUAUUUUUAGUAGAGACAGGGUUUCACCAUGUUGGUCAGGCUGGUCUCAAACUCCUGGCCUCAAGUGAUCCGCCUGCCUCGGCCUCCCAAAGUGCUGGGAUUACAGGCGUGAGCCACUGUGCCCGGUCAAGUUCCUUCUUCUGAUAAGGACUCCAUUCACCGGGCUAGGGCCCUUCCUACUCCAGUGUAUCCUCAUCUAACUAAUUACAUCUGCAAUGAUGCUAUUUCCAAAUAAAGUGAUGUUUGCAGUUACCAA